rnacentral:rRNA from 1 species
GAUGAACGCUGGCGGUAUGCUUAACACAUGCAAGUCGAACGGACUCUUCGGAGUUAGUGGCGGACGGGUGAGUAACGCGUGAGAAUCUGGCUUUGGGUUCGGGACAACCACUGGAAACGGUGGCUAAUACCGAAUGUGCCGAGAGGUAAAAGAGAAAUUGCCUGAAGAUGAGCUCGCGUCUGAUUAGCUAGUUGGUGAGGUAAAGGCUCACCAAGGCAGCGAUCAGUAGCUGGUCUGAGAGGAUGACCAGCCACACUGGGACUGAGACACGGCCCAGACUCCUACGGGAGGCAGCAGUGGGGAAUUUUCCGCAAUGGGCGAAAGCCUGACGGAGCAAUACCGCGUGAGGGAAGAAGGCUCUUGGGUUGUAAACCUCUUUUCUUAGGGAAGAACAAAAUGACGGUACCUAAGGAAUCAGCAUCGGCUAACUCCGUG